rfam:Erythranthe guttata cultivar DTN x IM62 scaffold_350_contig_7, whole genome shotgun sequence.
GGGUGAGAUCAUACCAGCACUAAUGCACCGGAUCCCAUCAGAACUCCGGAGUUAAGCGUGCUUGGGCGAGAGUAGUACUAGGAUGUGUGACCCCCUGGGAAGUCCUCGUGUUGCACCCC